GUCUACGGCCAUGCCACCCUGAACAAGCCCAAUGUCUAAUUUUGUCUUGGAAGCUAAGCAGGGUCAGGCCUGAUUAGUACUUGGAUGGGAGAUCACCUAGGAAGACCAAGUGCUGCAGGCA
rnacentral:rRNA from 1 species